UACGGGGGGGGCAAGCGUUGUUCGGAAUUACUGGGCGUAAAGCGUGCGUAGGCGGUUAUUCAAGUCAGAGGUGAAAGCCCGGGGCUCAACCCCGGAACGGCCUUUGAAACUAGGUAACUAGAAUCUUGGAGAGGUUAGUGGAAUUCCGAGUGUAGAGGUGAAAUUCGUAGAUAUUCGGAAGAAACACCAGUGGCGAAGGCGACUAACUGGACAAGUAUUGACGCUGAGGUACGGAAAGCGAUGGGGAGCAAACAGG
rnacentral:rRNA from 1 species